rnacentral:rRNA from 1 species
GCUUCUUUUUCCCCGGAGCUUGCUCCACCGGAAAAAGAAGAGUGGCGAACGGGUGAGUAACACGUGGGUAACCUGCCCAUCAGAAGGGGAUAACACUUGGAAACAGGUGCUAAUACCGUAUAACAAUCGAAACCGCAUGGUUUUGAUUUGAAAGGCGCUUUCGGGUGUCGCUGAUGGAUGGACCCGCGGUGCAUUAGCUAGUUGGUGAGGUAACGGCUCACCAAGGCCACGAUGCAUAGCCGACCUGAGAGGGUGAUCGGCCACAUUGGGACUGAGACACGGCCCAAACUCCUACGGGAGGCAGCAGUAGGGAAUCUUCGGCAAUGGACGAAAGUCUGACCGAGCAACGCCGCGUGAGUGAAGAAGGUUUUCGGAUCGUAAAACUCUGUUGUUAGAGAAGAACAAGGAUGAGAGUAACUGUUCAUCCCUUGACGGUAUCUAACCAGAAAGCCACGGCUAACUACGUGCCAGCAGCCGCGGUAAUACGUAGGUGGCAAGCGUUGUCCGGAUUUAUUGGGCGUAAAGCGAGCGCAGGCGGUUUCUUAAGUCUGAUGUGAAAGCCCCCGGCUCAACCGGGGAGGGUCAUUGGAAACUGGGAGACUUGAGUGCAGAAGAGGAGAGUGGAAUUCCAUGUGUAGCGGUGAAAUGCGUAGAUAUAUGGAGGAACACCAGUGGCGAAGGCGGCUCUCUGGUCUGUAACUGACGCUGAGGCUCGAAAGCGUGGGGAGCAAACAGGAUUAGAUACCCUGGUAGUCCACGCCGUAAACGAUGAGUGCUAAGUGUUGGAGGGUUUCCGCCCUUCAGUGCUGCAGCUAACGCAUUAAGCACUCCGCCUGGGGAGUACGACCGCAAGGUUGAAACUCAAAGGAAUUGACGGGGGCCCGCACAAGCGGUGGAGCAUGUGGUUUAAUUCGAAGCAACGCGAAGAACCUUACCAGGUCUUGACAUCCUUUGACCACUCUAGAGAUAGAGCUUCCCCUUCGGGGGCAAAGUGACAGGUGGUGCAUGGUUGUCGUCAGCUCGUGUCGUGAGAUGUUGGGUUAAGUCCCGCAACGAGCGCAACCCUUAUUGUUAGUUGCCAUCAUUCAGUUGGGCACUCUAGCAAGACUGCCGGUGACAAACCGGAGGAAGGUGGGGAUGACGUCAAAUCAUCAUGCCCCUUAUGACCUGGGCUACACACGUGCUACAAUGGGAAGUACAACGAGUCGCGAAGUCGCGAGGCUAAGCUAAUCUCUUAAAGCUUCUCUCAGUUCGGAUUGUAGGCUGCAACUCGCCUACAUGAAGCCGGAAUCGCUAGUAAUCGCGGAUCAGCACGCCGCGGUGAAUACGUUCCCGGGCCUUGUACACACCGCCCGUCACACCACGAGAGUUUUAACACCCGAAGUCGGUGAG